GCCGGGCACAGUGGCGCAUGCCUGUAAUCUCAGCAGUUUGGGAGGCUGAGGCAGGAGGAUCACAAGUUCAAAGCCAACUUCAGCAAUUUAGUGAGGUACCAAGCAACAAACUCAGUGAGACCCUGUCUUUA
rnacentral:sRNA from 1 species